AUUGAACGCUGGCGGCAGGCCUAACACAUGCAAGUCGAGCGGAUGACGGGAGCUUGCUCCUUGAUUCAGCGGCGGACGGGUGAGUAAUGCCUAGGAAUCUGCCUGGUAGUGGGGGACAACGUUUCGAAAGGAACGCUAAUACCGCAUACGUCCUACGGGAGAAAGCAGGGGACCUUCGGGCCUUGCGCUAUCAGAUGAGCCUAGGUCGGAUUAGCUUGUUGGUGAGGUAAUGGCUCACCAAGGCGACGAUCCGUAACUGGUCUGAGAGGAUGAUCAGUCACACUGGAACUGAGACACGGUCCAGACUCCUACGGGAGGCAGCAGUGGGGAAUAUUGGACAAUGGGCGAAAGCCUGAUCCAGCCAUGCCGCGUGUGUGAAGAAGGUCUUCGGAUUGUAAAGCACUUUAAGUUGGGAGGAAGGGUUGUAGAUUAAUACUCUGCAAUUUUGACGUUACCGACAGAAUAAGCACCGGCUAACUCUGUGCCAGCAGCCGCGGUAA
rnacentral:rRNA from 1 species